rnacentral:misc_RNA from 1 species
UCCGGUUUAACACCGGCAGUCUCGUUAGAGUGCCCGGCCGAACCGAAGGGACCGUCUCUGGUCCCGGCGAGUCACAUGUCAAGGGCUGGUAAGGUUCUGCGCGUUGCGUCGAAUUGAACCACAUGCUCCACCGCUUGUGCGGGCCCCCGUCAAUUCCUUUGAGUUUCAACCUUGCGGCCGUACUCCCCAGGCGGGGUGCUUAACGCGUUAGCUGCGACACUGACGAGCAAGCCCGCCAACGUCUAGCACCCAUCGUUUACGGCGUGGACUAC